CUACGGGUGGCACCAGUGGGGAAUAUUGCACAAUGGAGGAAACUCUGAUGCAGCAACGCCGCGUGGAGGAUGACACUUUUCGGAGCGAAAACUCCUUUUAUAUAGGAAGAAGAUGACGGUACUAUAUGAAUAAGCGCCGGCUAACUCCGUGCCAGCAGCCGCGGUAAUACGGAGGGCGCAAGCGUUACUCGGAAUCACUGGGCGUAAAGAGCGUGUAGGCGGAUUAAAAAGUCAGAAGUGAAAUCCUAUAGCUUAACUAUAGAACUGCUUCUGAAACUCUUAAUCUAGAAUAUGGGAGAGGUAGAUGGAAUUUCUGGUGUAGGGGUAAAAUCCGUAGAGAUCAGAAGGAAUACCGAUUGCGAAGGCGAUCUACUAGAACAUUAUUGACGCUGAGACGCGAAAGCGUGGGGAGCAAACAGGAUUAGAUACCCGCGUAGUC
rnacentral:rRNA from 1 species